rnacentral:rRNA from 1 species
UACGUAGGGCGCAAGCGUUGUCCGGAAUUAUUGGGCGUAAAGAGCUCGUAGGCGGCUUGUCACGUCGGGUGUGAAAGCCCGGGGCUUAACCCCGGGUCUGCAUUCGAUACGGGCAGGCUAGAGUGUGGUAGGGGAGAUGGAAUUCCUGGUGUAGCGGUGAAAUGCGCAGAUAUCAGGAGGAACACCGGUGGCGAAGGCGGAUCUCUGGGCCAUUACUGACGCUGAGGAGCGAAAGCGUGGGGAGCGAACAGG